CUCAUAACUAGAAUAUACAACUAUGUACUGGAGGCUUUGGGGAGAAGAAGGACAAAAAAUUAAAUUAAAUUAAAAUUUAAAGAAAUAAUUGAAAAAAUAAAGAAGAUUGCCAACAGAUGUUAGCUCAGGUGCCAAUCUUUAAAGAAAAAAAAAUUUGUUUAAUUCUUUUACUCCUUUAGGUAAGCAGUUUGCAGUCUGAUAGGCACUUGUGUGGUUCAGAGGUCAGAUAUUUGGAAGAGCUUACACACAGAAAUGGGGACCCCCUCUCUGCUUCUCUCCUUAACCAGGAUCCCCACCUCACUUCCUAACAAUUAUGGUUGCCAUGAAUUCUGUCCCCUGGUUCUUCAGGCCAGAAGGGUAUAGGUUUUCCAUUAAAGUUUAAGAUGCCACAUAUGUCACCAACUUUACCUGCCCUCAAGAUAGAAUUCAUAUUAAUAUAAGACUUUCCUAUAUUAGUCCCUUUUUCUAAAUUUCCAUCACUCUGGAAUCCACCUGCUUCUGUACCUUCUCAGAUCCUUCAAGCAGUUGUUUUUUAUAUUUUGUCCAGAGUUUAUAGUUAUUAUCUAUAGCAUGAUAGAUUAGGAGCUUAAUUAACCAUUCUGGAGCUCAACUGAUUUUUGAUUAUUGGAUUAUAUUUCUUUGAAUGUGAAACCACACUUGAGCUAGUCCUCACGGACUGGACACAUCCUUCAGUUUACUGUGGGUGAGAACUCUAACCCAGAUUGCAAUGGAAGUUCACAGAUGUUUCUUAAAUUAGAUUUUUAAAUUAAUAAUGGAAACAUAAACAUAAUCCCAAUUAAUAAAUUUAUUGAUGAAAUUUAUUAAGAGAAAAUGAGUCAUAAUUUUAUUAGAGCACCAACCACGUGUCAGACACUGUACUAGACCCCUAGUAAGGCAUUUUAUUAUGUCAUUAUACUUAUGAACAAUAGCUCAUUUUGUCAUUAUAGAUGUACCCUGCAAGCUACCUCUACAGUUAAUGUUUUCCUAUUAGAAUCACUCUUGCUUUUGUAAUAUUCAAAUUCAUAAAACUUUUAUAUCUCUCAAUACAAUGUAUUUCACUACUGUUUCUAUAAGAAAAAUUUAUAUUUGUCUUAAAUAUUCAAUACAACAUUUUUAACAAAACAAUGUAUGGAGAAAACUCUCAAGUUGCAUUUUAAUUACAAAGAGUGGGACAUCAGAAUCUCAUUUUUAAAAAAAUAAUGCUGAUUAUCAUCAAAGGGCAUGUUGCUAGUGAAAGGAGACAUCAGAAUAUCAUGUUUUGUACACAAACCAACUGUUACUAACACUCAUAUUGAUAAUUUGUUUAUCAGGAAGCAAAGAUUUAAGCAUUUUACAUCCUAAAUGAUAAUUUGUUACGUGUGUGUGUGUGUGUUUAUGUUUUAGGAAAUUGUUUGGGGAUAGGGUUGAUGAAUAAUGCAUUAUAAUUUUUCCCAUUUAAAAUAAUAGGGAAAAUGCUCUUGGUUACUGUUUUUGUGUAGAACAUCUGAUUUUUUCAAGAAUAGAUUACUGAUUUGAUGUUAAGCAUAAGAUGCUUACAAUUAUAUUUUACAUAGACAUAUAGGAGUACUAAAUAUUACAGAAUGCCAUUUUCCAUUUUUCAAAUGUAUUCCAUAAAACCUGUGCAAGAUGUUAAUUGGUGUCCCUAAACAUUUUCCCAUUGUUCUUAAAGAAAGACUAAGCAUUCUGUUUAAUAACAUAAACGGCUUUCUUGAACAAGCUGAUGU
ensembl:lncRNA